rnacentral:tRNA from 1 species
GUGGCACAAUGGACAGUGUGUUGGACUUCUAACCUGUGAUGAUCAGUGUGAGCCAGGUGACAUGUUCAAAGGUCGUGGGUUCAAAUCCCCCC